GAUGAACGCUGGCGGCGUGCCUAACACAUGCAAGUCGAGCGUGAACUCUCGGAACGAAACUUCGGUCUAGGGAAGAGGGGGAAAGCGGCGGACGGGUGAGUAACGCGUAGGUAACCUGCCCCAUACAUAGGGAUAGCCUAGGGAAACCUGGAUUAAUACCUGAUAAUGCGAAGAGGUCACAUGGUCUUUUCGCCAAAGAUUCAUCGGUAUGGGAUGGACCUGCGUCUGAUUAGCUAGUUGGUGGGGUAACGGCCUACCAAGGCAACGAUCAGUAGCCGACCUGAGAGGGUAAUCGGCCACAUUGGAACUGAGACACGGUCCAAACUCCUACGGGAGGCAG
rnacentral:rRNA from 1 species